GUUUGGCUGAAGUACCAGAAAUCUCUACUAAGAGUGGCUUAAACUUCAAAGGCUUCUAAUGUUUAAUGUUUAAAAAUGAUGUGAGAGACUGGAAGUCUAGAGGUGUUCUGGCGGCCCAGCAAUGUCAUCAGUGAUGCAGAAGCCACACCCUCUCCACCCCGCCAUGAACAAAAUGGUGGUAACACUCCCUCAUGACUGCAGUGUGCCUGCCUCCACUCCAGCCAUCACAUCUGCACAGUCAAUGUUCAAGCCAGAAGCAAGGGCGCAUCUUCCUCCCCGCCCUGCUCUUUCUUUUCAGGAAGGAAAAUCUCUCACAGAAGCCCCUAGACUUCCCCUAACGUCUCAUUGGCCAGAAUGAGUCCUUGCCAGGAUCAAUCACCAGAGGUGGGGGAGAGGAGGGUUGAGCAGUUGCCCUGACUGGCUUGGACCUACCGUGAUUCCUCCAAAAUGAGCAUCCACGGGAAGAAGGCAGGGUGGAGUGGGCAGAGGCAGCUGUGUGAGCAACCAACUCGAUCCUGCCAUGAAGGAGAAAUGGACAAGGGAGCUGAGGUUUCAAAGACAAGGGGACAGAAGAGCAGGAGGAGCAGCACAUGCAGAUCCUCAGAGAUGCAGAGAUGCAGAGAGCAGAGCCGCAGAGAUGCAGAGAUGCAGAGAGCAGAAAGCAGAGACGUAGAGGAGAGAUGCAGAGAGCAGAGAUGCAAAGGCGCAGAGCAGAGAGCAAAGAUGCAGAGGCGCAGAGAUGCAGAGAGCAGAGAUGCAGAGAUGCUGAGAUGCUGAGAUGCAGAGAUGCAGAGGCUGACAGCUGGAUGAGAAUGGAGACCCCUGCCUGCUUCUCCUGCUGCACUGUGCCCGGUGUCCAGAGCCGGCCCACCAGCCACAGGGCCUCAGUGAUGUGCACUGGGCCAGUGAACACUGCAGACCACACAGGAGCAUACUUCCAGGAGUGC
rnacentral:lncRNA from 1 species